AGUAAGUAAAGAGGCAAGAAAAAAUGUCUCCCCGUGGUUCAAAAGCCAACUAAAGUUUACCAAGAGCUGUGACCUGUGGUUAAAAUGUCCUCAGAGGCCAGCUCUCAUCUGAUUUCAACCUGAAGCCCCAUUUCCUAUCAAGAGAGCCAUUUGGCUCCUCUCUUAAGCUCAGCAGCCCUGAGGUGUGGUAGCCUCACGCUGACCCAUACAGAAUGCAACAGAACUGUCCCUGCUGCAGAAGUCUCAGGGUUCUGCCCCAACUGCAUAGACUUCUUUCAUGGAACCGGCUCCUCUAUCCCCACAAGGCUUCUCCCCAGCACAGCUUCUACCUAGAAUCAGACGGAGAGCUUUAGACCAGAGAGAAAACGGAGGCGUGGUGACACCAAGUGACAUGCUCCAAGCCGCUGAACAUGUUGGUGGCAGAGCUAGAACUCGACACCAAGUCUCCUGGCUUUAGUCCACUGUGGCUCUCAAUCCUCGCACACGCAGAGCACAGACCGUUUUUGAUGGUGCUGCAGGGAACAAGGCCCCACCAGUGUGUGCUCUUCCUGUGUGUCCAAAUUUCCACCAAAGAGGGCUCCUCCCAGGAGAUUGGCUGCCGAACCUGUUCUUCCACGGCAGAAGCGGCGCAGCUAGCCCAGCACGACUCUGCUUAUUGUUACGCUUCUGCCACAUGUGUGUAAAUUUGUAAGGAACUUGCCG
rnacentral:lncRNA from 10 species